AUUGAACGCUGGCGGCAGGCCUAACACAUGCAAGUCGAGCGGAGCGGCGGACGGUUGAGUAAUGCCUAGUUAUCUGCCUGGUCUUGGGGGAUAACGUCCGGAAACGGGCGCUCAUACCGCAUUCUAUCAGAUGAGCCUAGGUCGGCUUAGCUAGUUGGUGGGGUAAAGGCCUACAAAGGCGACGAUCCGUAACUGGUCUGAGAGGAGGAUCAGUCACACUGGAACUGAGACACGGUCCAGAUGCCUACGGGAGGCAGCAGUGGGGAAUAUUGGACAAUGGGCGAAAGCCUGAUGCAGCCAUGCCGCGUGUGUGAAGAAGGUCUUUGGAUUGUAAAGCACUUUAAGUUGGGAGGCGUUACCAUCAGAAUAAGCACCGGCUAACUUCGUGCCAGCCGCCGCGGUAAUAC
rnacentral:rRNA from 1 species